CGUACCCGGAAGUAGUGUGAAUAUUUACUUCAGCUGACGUCAAAUCAACUGACUACAAUUACAGUUUAGGUUUUUGUUAGAAUAACCAAAAAUAUAUGCACAACUACGUAUGAUAACUUGCAUGUAAAUAGCUACUAAGCAUUUAUAUCUUCUGUAGCUAGGCUAUAGCGAAAAGAGGCUGCUAAAGCCAGCUUACUCAAUUCUAAACAAAGUAACGUUAUUUCACGUGUUGUCGGGAUUUGUGUGUUUUAACGCGUGACUAUGGACAAGCUAGCCAUAGAUGUUGGUGAUAUUCAGUCCAAGCCAAUGGCGUGUCGUAAAAGGGGAGAUCUGCUAUUUUGUGAAUUUUUAGGAAAAACAUGGAUUCAGAGAGAGCCGUUUCCUGGACAACCUGAACAAAAUGGUGGUGGAGACCAAUGAGGAGUUGUUGCCCAAAUGUUCAGAGCACAUGCAUAGGCACCUCUGUGAGGCCCUCACACGAUUGGAGGAUGGGAAUCACACGUCACACAGGAUCCAGGAGAGGGAGCUAGAGGCAGACCAAGUAAAGACACAGGCUCUCUUCAAAGCCCAUGAAUUACCAAUAGUGAUUUAACCAUUCACAGGCAUGGAUUGUGACAACAGACCAGGGCCCAGUUUCCCGUUAUCGAUGGAACUUAAGCUUACGAGUGUAUGAACAAGGCAUCGUACAACAACCGAAGAAGUCGCUUAUGUUUCCCAAAACACUAAGCAGGGAGAACUUUCACUAAGUCUGUCGUUGGAGCAGGUGUCAUUACUGAUAGGAUGGAAAGAAAGGCAGCGCUGCUCACGGAUCAGCUUGGUCCAUUCAAAUCUUACCUUAACAUUAUAAUUAUUCCACAAUACUGAGGAAGGAUCAGCUGCUGCUCCUAGAGAGCUAUUAUCACAUAUAGGCUAUGGCUGCAAAUAUUAUGGUGGCUUAUUAACCUAAUGCUUAUGCCCAGCCUACACAUCAUUGCUCGCAUGUUGUUACACAUCAUGAAAUAUAUUUAGGCAAAAAUUACAAACAGUAGCCUACAAUUAGCCAAAUAGAACUCAAUUGAUUGAACAAGAAAUAGAUUUCAUUUCUGUAUUUACCUUUUAUUACAGUCAUCUGGGUUUUCAUUUGAAGCAUAUUUUUAUUCUUCGCUUGUCUGUAACAUACAAAGACUUUGGUAACUUUGUAGUCAACUUUGUUCUGAAUUUAUAGGCGUUUACAGAGAGACAGAUAAACAUCUUGAGUCUGUGUUUAGCAGAGAUCUUCUAUGUAUAAAGUUAUGUGGAAGGGCAAAAAAAGCACCUAACAAUGCACUUAGCUGUUCUAAGAGUGAUCUGAGACAGUUAGUAAAUAAAGAUUGUUUUCAAGUGCAACAUUAGUUCUAAUGGGUUUGGGAAAACAACUCAGGGAUUUACCAAUGCUCCUACAAAGAUUCUAACGAUGAACUUGGUUUUAAGAUGCUUUCGGGAAACCGGGCCCAGGGGCGGAUCAUUUGGCAUCUAACAGGAGAUGGCUGUUUGAAACAGAGUGCCACCCAAGUCUCCCCAACAAGAGGGUUUUCAUUUCCAAUUUCAUUUUUGUCUAGUUCAGAUUUUUUUUGGUCUUCGAGCCUGACCCAGAUCCCUGUGUGUUGUGCACCUUAGAGCACCUAGUUGCAGGUGACCAUAGACAGACAGAAGGAGGACUGGGACAAGUGUCUAAAGGACCAGCAACGGUUGAAGGAGGAGGUGGACGAGGAGCAUACCAAGGCCAUCGGACGCCUCAGCAUCAUGUACAGCAACAUGAAGAAGAAUCUGUCCAGAUUCUCUCACUUUUAAUCCUCUGUGUGUCUGUCUGCUUGAAAUUAAGUUGUUGAAUUUGAUUGAUGCGGUACUUAGUCAUUGGCGCUAACAGAGGACUUCUGAGGACAAAAGUCAACAGUUUCCAGAUCACAAAUGACAAAGUGUGAUUAACAACGUGGCAUUUUCACAGCCCUUCAAAAUCACAAUUUUCUGGCCUAAGCACAUGGAAUAUGUAUGUCAAGCUCUGGAAAAAUGUCAUUUUUAAACCAUAAAGUACAUGAUUGUUCCUUGGCUGCUAAACUUAUUUUUUAAUGGAAUUAUGCUAGGAGGUGUUGAUAGAUGUGUGUUUUCUAUGGUAGGGCAGAUUUUCAAACCGUCACAAUUUUGGCAACAGGGUUCUCGAUCCAGGAGGGGAUUGAAUGUCUCUGCUGUAACCAAGAAACUUGAUCUAGACAUCUGGCCACUUAGCUAGCCAGGUUAUUAUUAUUAUAUAUAUAUAUAUAUAUAUAUAUAUAUAUAUAUAUAUAUUACCUUUAUUUAACUAGGCAAGUCAGUUAACAAAUUCUUAUUUACAAUGACGGCCUAAGUUAGCAAACCAAAUGCAUAGCUGGAGCCCUGAGUUUGAUAUAAUUUCACACAUCUUAGAUUUCUUAUAGUUAUACUUAUAGAUAUAAACAGUGGCGUAGCACAAAAAAAACGUUUGAACAGUAUUGAAAGUCAUACCGUUGGUAUUUUUAAAUACCCCGGUAUAUGGUAUCAACGGUAUAUCGCCCAAACCUAGUGUUUCCCUCCAACUGAAUAAGAAAAGAAACUGGAUUUUGCCACUGAUUUAGAUAUUUGAAGCUUCAGGCGAGUGAAAAUGUUGAAUGUCAGAAGUGCAAUUCAAAGCUGGGUUGUCAACGGCACAGGUCAACAUCUCAAACUUUACUCACUGAGCAAUUUCCCCAACUAUGCGUGCCUCACCAACUCUUCAGAUUAGGGUACAGUGAACCUUUGACAUCAAGUACAACUAGCAACAUCUCAAAAUAAGUCAAUCAGAAAUGGUUUUACUGAAGCAGGCUCAAGCUGUCAGAAAUUGACAUUAUUUAGUGGUGUUUUCCUGGGCCUCUUAUGUACCUUGUUAAAUGGAGAGGUAUACUUGUAGCGCUGUAUAAAGUGUUUUGUUUAAGGACAGUAUUUGCACUGGGCAAUGGCAUGCUGUUUAGACUGAUGGAUGGAUGGGCACGCUGACACAUUCCUGACCUGCUGGGAACAGGAUUAAUCUUAGCAGAAAGUGACAGAGCAAAUAUUUUAAAUGGCUCUCAUGAACACAGAAUAUGGGCACGGACGCUUUAAAUAAAACUUAAUUGUUGCGUGGGGGGGAUGCAGACCUCAUCAAUCAGUAUAAGUAAAAUAAAGCGUUGCUAAACUCU